CAAAUCUCAGCCCCAGAUUCAAGCCUGUAGUGGAUUUGGCAGCAUUUUAUAUUGUUUGUUUAUUAGGGCACAAGGAGUCACAUUCAUCCAUGCAUUUUUUAAAUGUUUUAUUUUAAAUCAGUUAAAACUCCAGGGGUUCAAUUCAUUACCACUUCUUCUCCAAACCGCGGGGCAAUCCAGUGCAGCACAAUCAUCCGUGCCAGUAACUGAGCAGGGAAUGCAACCCAAUAGCUGGAGCUGCUUCUUGGUCAUGGAAAGGAGAGGAGAGAAAGGGACAAGAACCACUGUGAACCCUUCUCCUCUUGUGCCAGUUGUUUGUUUCUUCCAAGUAAUAAAUAACCUUUGAAAUACUCUUUUAGCAAUGGAUUAAAUAGUGUAGCGAGUGGCAAUCUGGGCUGCAGUUUCCCAUGCCUGACUUUGAUCUUCUAAAUAUGGUGGGUGUAUAGAAUUGCCUAAUUUCCCUUAUUUCUUCCAAUAUUCUAUGCUACUUUCUAGAUUUGCCGUUGAGUGAUGUUCCCAAGUAAUCAUAGCACCGAGCAAAUGCCUGCUGUGAUAUUCAACAGCCUGCACCUAGAGCAAUAAUUUUACCCUCUCCUUGCCAGCUCUUUCUUAAUGUUCACCUGCUUCCCUAUUACACGGCUGGCACUUUGCAUUAGGUUAGAAGGCAUGAUUUCAUUUUUCUACUUGGCUGCUGCUGGGGCUGCCCUGCAAGCGCCGUACUGUUCCCA
rnacentral:lncRNA from 1 species